rnacentral:sRNA from 1 species
GAGCGGAAGCGAGAGAACGUUGCCAACGGCAACGGCCCGAAGGGCGCGACGCGCCGAGUCAUCCUUCCCCCACCACAA